AAUAACCAAAUAUAAUAAUUGGACUUAAGCGUAAAGUUGGUAAUUUUUCCUAGAUCUCCGCCUCCUGGAGCCCAGCUAUCAUAUCCCCGCAAAAUAAAGAGCCUUAAAUACUAGUU
rnacentral:ncRNA from 1 species